CCAGGUGGGCGUGGUUAAGGCUGACCGAAGCCUAGUUAGUUGUCCAGGUUCACCAAAUGAGACUGUUGCUGCGGUGGCCAAGCCUGAGUAGGCAAGGCCAGUGCACUACCCUGGCCAGACCCAGUGUGGGCGGGAGGCGGUGGGGACUCUGGGACUUUCCGGUCCGGGCUGCAGGGCGCUGUGCAGUGAGUGGAUGGAAGCAGGACAGCCUUGCUACGGGCCCCUGUUUGUUCUGGAUGCGACACGGCUUGUCUGGGGGCUCGUGUUGGGCCCAGGUCUGGAAGACAGACAUCCAAACUCCAAGUCGGGAUGGCCAAACAGCCAACGUGAAGGAGCUAGAGUCACCCGCGAGGAGUAUGAUUAGAGAACAAUUGGUUCUCCAGAGUCAAACUACACGACUUCCAAGCAUCCGACUGCUAUCUCCCGAGUAGCCCAACGCUAAGGGGUCUUGAAGUACUCCACCGUGUUGAACUUGUUGCAACGGUUAUUGUGAGCCCGGGAGGGGGGCUGCUGUGCUGGCUGCAGGACUCUCUGCCGGGUUUCUCAGGAGGACUGCAGAAGGUUGUCUAUUUGACUUCUUUUGCUGCCUUUAGGCUUUUGCCACAUUGGGUCCCUUGGCGUCAUUGUGCCAGAACGUUUUCCUUCCCCUUUCCUGUUUUUUCCUGAGUUACUUAUCUCUUAUCAUCCAUCUUAGGUUGCACUGUCUCCUCCCAGGGCUGUCCUGCAAUGGGAAGUCGUGGUGUGGUUUGUUUUGUUUUGCAGCCUGGCAGCCAGCCUCCAGAGCUAAUCGCAUAUGCUGACCUGCAAGUGUCUGUCGUUAUCAGGCUCUAGAAAGCAUGGACCACAGAGCUGCCCUCACUGCCAACCCAUGCAGCUGUAAACUGGUGCCUGUAGGACCCCCAACAGGAAGCUCCAAUCUCCUUACAAAGGCCAGGUGAUCUUCCAUCAGCCAACGAGCCCUGGCAAUGGCCUAGGAGCCACAUAGGCAUUGUCUGAGAAAAGGGUUGUUAAGCUUUUCUGCUUCUCCUCUAGUCAGCUGUCCCCCAGUAGCCCUUUUGCUAUAUGGUCAUGCUGUCAGAACAGCUGACAAGGACUCCUCUGGGUGCUGCUGAAAGUGUCUGAUUUUAUGGACCAGUGAGGUCCAGCAGAGUGUACUAAGUGUUGGGAUAAUCUUUUUGUACACCAUGUGAAGAUGUGUCCUUCCUCACUUGCCUAAGGCAUCUUCUGAUUGGUUUAAUAAAGAGCCAACCAGCCAAUAGCUAGUCAGGAGAGGAUAGGCGGGACUUACGGGGAGAGAUAGGAACUGUGAGAAAGAAUCUGAGGCAUGGGAGAUUAGCAGACAUGGAGAAAGUCAGAUUUACAGUAUUGACAUGCCAUGUGGCAAAACAUAGAUUAAUAUAAACAGGUUAAUUUAAUGUUUUGUUUUGUUUUGUUUCUCUGUGUAGCUUUGUGCCUUUCCUGGAACUCAUUCUGUAGCCCAGGCUGGCCUCUGCCUCCUGUGUGUUGGGAUUAAAGGUAUGAGCCACCAGGUCCAGCAUAGAAGGCCAUUAAAAAAAAAAAAAGUUUAUUUAUUUAUUAUGUAUUCAGUGUUCUGCCUGCAUGUGUCCCUGCACUCCACAAGAGGGCACCAGGUCCUACUAUAGAUGGUUGUGAACCACCAUGUGGGUGCUGGGAAUUGAACUCAGGUCCUCUGGAAGAGCAGCCAGUGCUCUUAACCACUGAGCCAUCUCUCCAGCCCCCCUAAGGCCAUUUUUUUAACUCACAACUUUAAACCAGACAAAGAGGAGGAAGAGGAGGGGGAAAGUCCUCUGUUCUUCAUUGUUUCCUUUGUGCUGAACUUCACCUAUCAUGGCCACAUCACAGUCCACUUUUCAAAAGAACCAGCCAAGAAGUAGCAAGAUUUCUCUUUAUGAGCAAGACUUGGUGGCUCACACCUAUAGUCCCAGCACUCAAGAACCUGAGGCAGGAAUAUUGUCAGGAGGGCAAGACUAAAAUAGGCUAUAUAGUGAGUUCUAGUCUAGCUUGGUCUAUAGCAAGUUCCAGAACAGCUAAGGCUACAUAGAGAGAACCUGUCUGAAGAAAAACAAAACAAAACAAUAAAAUCCCAAAUAAAUAAAUAAAAAUUAAGGAGCCAAGAAUAUUCCUCAAAGUGAUAUAGAUGCCUGCUGCCAGGCUUGACUACCUGAUUUCGAUCCCAGAAACCUGUGUGAUAGAAGGAGAGAGCUCACUGCUGCAGAUAUCCUCUGAAAUCCACACGUGCAUCAUGUUACAUGGGCACCCCGCCCCCAGACACAGAGAAUAAAUAAAUACAAUGUAAUCUAAAAAUAAAAACCAAAACCUUUUUCUUCAUGGACUAGUGUCCUUCCACAUUGGCAAUUAACAGAUUGCCUCUUCGCAGCUGUGAUUUUGCCUCUAACUUGAACAUCUUGCCCACAGUAGACAUGACCUGUCCCCACAUUGUUGCUGGAUCCUAACCGCUCCCUAGGGGGCGGGGGAUGAGAAGGUGUGGCUUCAACAAAUGCACAGUCACCAGGAGUCAGUUGAAGGCAAAUAACAAACUCGUUUAUUCAGUAAUGGGGAGGUCUUAUAUACCCUCCUCCCAGCACCCAAGUUGUGUCCCAAUCUGGUGGCAUUUUGUGGUCAUCCCUCAUUGGCUGGGCACAAUCAGGAACUCUGACAGUGCCUGUUGCUAGGCCCUCAGGCAGACUCCAGGUUGGCUCAUAGGAAGUAAAUUGUGUGCAUGCCUUGGCAACUGGUUUGAGCCAAUUUCUUCAAUCCUAUGGACCUGUUGUAUUAUACCCACACUAGUACCCGAGCUUCCAUGCUGGUCAACUGCAAUUUCAAAACCUGCCCCAGGCUGAUCCAGCCUACUGGAGUGUUGUGUGCUUCCAGGGAGACCACAAGCAAGCAAGCGACAGGAAUGCAGUAUAUUGAGAGAGGAAGUCAGAAUGUGGAGUUUAUACGAGGAUUGAUAAUGUGGCAUGGGCCUGGGUCACUUCUUUUCCAUGCUUUGGACGAAACCUGAAUACCUUUAUCAGUGCCUGGGAAUAUUUACGGCCUUGAGGUAGUACCAUACAGGACCUGAAGCUUCAGUGAUUCUGUCUCAAAGGAUAAAAUAGAGGAGAUUGAUAGAGGAGACACACUUGAUACUGAUCUGUGACUUACAUAAAAAUACACAUGGGUGUGUGAGAAUACACUCACUCUGAGAGAGACAUUAGGGAAGGAGAAGGUGAAUAUCUGUUUCCAAAUAAGUAUCCUACAGAAAGGUAAAUGAAUGAUAGGCAAGAUCACCACAAUGGGUCUACUGGUUUCAAGAAAAUGUUCAUGCAACCAAGGCCCCUGUUGGUGGGUAGGAAAACUGAAGCAGGGGCCUUCCACCAAGCAAAAUUAGUACCCAGGAAGGGCACACUUGUAAAGGCAGCAUCCUGCCCUCAUGCCUCAUUUCCACAAGGGACACACAAGGUUCUUUUGUUGUUGUUGUUUUGUUUUUUUUUAAUUCUUUUUUUUUUUCAGAGUUGAGGACCGAACCCAGGGCCUUGCACUUGCUAGGCAAGUGCUCUACUGCUGAGCUAAUUCCCCAACCCCCACAAGGUUCUUUUUGUUUGAGAGGCUGAUAAGGACUAAAACAGGAACUCCAAGUUGCAAGAUGUGCCAGGAUAAGGACCUCUUCUUAGGGACUCUAGUGUGAAAAUUGGCUUCUCCUCCUGUCUUUAAACCAGUGGUCAGUUACAACGAGGGUUGCUGUAUUGGCUGGUUUUGUGUGUCGACUUGACACAAGCUAGAGUCAUCAAAGAGGAAGGAGCCUCAGUUGAGGAAAUGCCUCCAUGAGAUCCAGCUGUAAGGCAUUUUCUCAAUUAGUGAUCAGUGAGAGAGGGCCGAGCCCAUACUAGGUGGUGCCAUCCCUGUGCUGGUGGUCCUGGGUUCUUUUAGUAAGCAGGCUGAGCAAGCCAUGAGGAACAAGCGUGUAAGCAGCACCACCACCACCCCCAUCUCACCCUAUGAUCUCUGCCUCAGCUCUUGCCUCCAGGUUCUGGCCCUGUUUUGACUUCCUGUCUUGAGUUCCUUCAUUGAUGGACAACAAUGUGGAAGUGUGAGCCAAAUAAACCCUUUCUAACCCA